rnacentral:miRNA from 14 species
CAUGUGUUUAUAUGUCUGUGUGUAUGUCCAUGAGUAUAUAUGAAUAUACUAGUACACACACACACAUACAAACACACACCCACCCAC